GUUAGAUGUUAAUUUUCAUUAAGCUUAAGGUUCUACGGAAAAAGGCGAAAUUCGCCCCUAAAGGCUUCAAUGUCUGAAUGAAAAAAGGCACUAUGGUAAAGAGGUAGUUGAAAAAUGGGAGGGAGCUGGCCUCUACAAGUUGUUGAUUGAGAUAGAUUAGCGUAUUGACUUUCGAUUGAUAUACCUCAUUAAGCAUAUGGUUUUACGGAAAAUGGCUAAAUUUGUCGAAAACUAUCUCGUUUUUGUUAUAAACCGUAUAUUAGAAAUGGCGACGUGCGCCACUUCCGUCGCCGACGCCAUUUGGACGCCAUGUUGCCCGAGAUUUGAGCGCUUGUACGCCUUGGCUUCUAAAUUUCAAGAUGAAUAUUGACGGCAGAAGACGGCGUUGUGCAUAUGGGGGGCACGCACUGAUUUCAAGUGAGUCGGAAGUGCCAAAAUUGAACAAGAUUGGUUCCAAGUACGUUUCGAAGUCCGUCAUUCAGGCCCUGGGAAUGGGUGACCCUGGCAAGCUUGCUGGACGAUACCUGUGUCAUAAGUGUAUUUCCUAUGGCAGGUCGCAGAUGAAAAUUGUUCAGGAGAGCCAGCGCCAUUCCGGAUCUGAAAAUGCUCUGCAUGUCAGCAUUGUCUGGGAUUGCAAUAUCCUAAUCAAUCACUACCCUCUAAUGACCAACGGGUAUAUGCUCAGCACAUCAUCAUAUCACCGUUCCACACACCAUCACAUUACAAACAUCAUCACGCACCAAUUAGUAUGCGUUUCUGCUCUGAAAUGGGUACAUUUCAAUGCUGUUCACAACCAUUAAAUCACAUGUUCAAUCCACUCCUGUUCGUCUCCUCAGUCACCCGGAGACCUUGACCUACUCCUGGUCCUCUACGCCCGCCAGCGCCGCUUCGUCUGCGGUGCCGACCAGCGCCGCUUCGUCUGCGGCCCCCGCCAGCGCCGCUUCGUCUGCGGCCCCCGCCAGCGCCGCUUCGUCUGCGGUGCCGACCAGCGCC
rnacentral:lncRNA from 1 species